GUAUACAGUGACCUGCAAAAUAUCUCCUCUUACACACAAUAAAGGUUUGUGACAAGAAGACGGAAAGGCGUGAGAAGUUCCUCUAACCCCAGGAUGGAUAUAUAUUGACCCAACUUCCAGGAAUGAACCCCAUGUAGUAAAGGCUACUACCUUUAUCAAAAUUGCAGACUUAUACCAGAGAAGAUCAGGCAAGACUCAAAUAGCAAAUGGAGCUGUGUAGUGGGGAUCUGGUGGUAAAGAAGUUAUUGGAGCAUCUGAAGAGGAGGUGGCCUGUUGGAUUAGUAUCAUCAUUCUGUACAACCUGGGAGAGUGUCUGCAGCCAAGAUGGUCAACCUACCAGGCUACACACCACAUCAGCACAUCACAAAGCACAUCAUAUAUGACUCCCACCCCAAGUUUCUUAUACUCUGUAGGCAAACAAGGAAGAAAGAAGCACCUCCGCUCUAUUUAGCUCCAGGCCAGAGGUCAGAAAUAAUGAAAUAAUCAGUUGAAGGUCAUAGAGAAAGUCUGUACAACAAGAAAGUAAAUGCAGACCUUCCUAGGUGAAAUUCAGUCAUUUCAGCACCAGACUGUAGUUUAUUCCUAACUAUUCACAUAAGCAACUAAAAAACAUCUUUUAACCAAUGCUCUACAGGGAUAGAGUCUGCCCAGCUGCUAUUCUUUCUCCUGGCAUAUCUCUUUCACUAUAAUUUUCUUUCAUAGACUGUAAGUUACUGACUAUAUGCAGGUAGCAAUAAUGAAUGAUAUAAUUAGCUAGAUAAUUCUGGUUUUCUUCAGUAAAAGCCUAAUAGUUUGUAUAAGAAAGCACUGGAUUCCUUUCAACUUGUUGUUAUUUGCAUAUGCUGAAACCACAAAGGACAUUGAUUAUUUUAACUAUGCUCAAUUUGCCUUUGAAACCGACAUUCAAAAAAACAAAAGACCUUAAACAAACAUGAAAGUAAUCUAAUACUGACAUAAACAUGAAAGAUAAUAAGAUUACUAUGAAUUGAUCUAAAUAUUACUUAAAAUAAUUAGAAAUGAUUUUCUCGUGGUUCACCGUUUAAGUUAAGCUGCUUUUUAAUGUUACUUAGAAAAAUAAGCAGAGCAUUACUUUCCAGAAUUUUAGUAGUUAUUGUUUAUGGCAUUCAGUAAAACAAUGAGCAAAUAUGCCUUUCUCUUUAUUGCUUUAUAUUUCGCAUGCAGUUUGUAAAUAACUAGUCUAGUUUUGCACCAGCCAAUUUUGUAAGGGCAGGGUUGUUGCCAUUUUAAUACUGUAUCAUUUUAUUACUUUAAAUCAUGAACCAACUGGGUUUCUUUUUUCUCUCUUGGCACCAUUUCUACUAGUUAACUUUAUGAAAAGCAGUAACAUGAAGGAAACAAGCCAUGCCAAUAACCCUUACAGUCACCAAACAAAAAAGGCAUGCAUAGAAGAAAAAUACCAGUUAAAUUUCAGUGCCAUUUGUCAAAUUAGCUAUGGAGAUGAACCUCCAAAUUAACUGAAGUUUGCAUCACUUUCACUACUCAGUCCCAAAUGAUUUAUUGGAAUUUUUGGUCUUGUAAGAAACACAGCAUUUUUUUUUUUCCCUUUCUAGGAUUAUUCCAGUUAUCUGUAUAUAACUAAAUUUGGGGAAAUAUGAUUAAAAAAAAAAUGAUAGCACCAAGUUUUCUCUCAAUAUUUAAAGAUCUAUCUGGCUUUAAGCAGCCUGGUAAGUAUUUUUCCUUGUAGUUUAAGAAGUACUUUUCCUGAAUAGUAGAAAAGAAAAAGAUGUAAUUCAGAUAUACUAUUUUCCUUUAAUUAGUUGACUAUUUCAAACAGUAAAGCGAAUUUAGGAAUAAAUCCAUGGAGAAAAGAUACCUGGGUUGUUUAGAAGAAAUAUGAGGACUUACAUUGUGUUUUCUAUUCACGUCUUCAUUCUAGGUCUAUGAAAUUUUUUGUCCUCAUGCCAAACAAAAGAGAAAAGAUGGAUGCCCUUUUUGGUUUUAACGAUUGUCAUUUGUGCACAUUUACCUAAGUGUUUCAUUAGAUGUAAUCAUAGUUUCUCUACAGAUGUAUUUGGAAGUCAGGUAGCAAGGGCUUGCAGAGAUACCUCAACAAUUGCUCCUGAAGCACAAAGUACAGAAGCUGUUUAGAAGAAAGUUUGCUGACCUGACUGUAAAAAUAAAGAACCCUGACACACAGCAGCUGUUGUUCAUCCAUGUGGGAGAAAGAAUAACUGCUUUCCGGCACACUCUUUUCCACAACUUGCAAUUUGCCUCAUGAUGCUGGGACAUUUCAUGAUGGACAUUCGACUUUCCCAGGGCAAGCAGAGGCAAUGGCUCUUAGGUCUAGUGAAACCUAAGAAUAGUCUUAUAGCAGGACAACUUUUGGGCAGCAUUAUCACAAAGGGACCCCUAUGAAAAUAUGCCUUAAAGCAGUUGACUUCUGAGGUCAGUCAGAAUGCUCGUGACAAAGAAGAUGCAGGAGAAGACAGGGCCAGAAGUGUACACUGGAAAUGAAAGGGACAAAAUAACACCACAUGGCCACAAAUUCAUGGGGGAAUAUGGAAAAAAACCUGCUUCUUUAAGGGACUGAAGUAUAACAUUCAGAUUCUCAUUCGCCUGUGUUCCUACCUCCAUUCCUAAAUGUCGGAGGUAUCUGCAUUUCUAACAUGCCUGUUUCUACUUGUGAAACUCCCAAGACACCAGAAUUUCACAGAAAGGGCUGUUACUGUCUUGCCAGACUUGAGCUGUAAUUCUAGUCUCAUGCUCAAGACUUCACAAGCUUAAAAAGUAUGAUAUGGUUCUGCCCAUCUCACUUGCAGGAUCAAAACUUAUGCAGUGGCUAGGAGUAGAGUUUCUCUUUCACAUCAUGGAAAUGAGCUCCCUUCUGCCUAGGAGCGCUCACCUUUUGAGUGAAUUAGGAUCAAAUCCCAGUUGUCUCUAAACACAAAUCUUCUACAAAGGUGACUUAAUCCAUGGGCUGGUACCUCUUAAUCUCUCCCACUGGAAGUGUUCUACUUUCAGUAUGUAAUUAACAUUCAUCUCAACAGAGACUGCAACUGGAUUCUCCCACAUCUUAGGGGAGUACCCUGCCCAUUGGACUGUAGGAUUUGUAAUUUUUCCUUCUUUCUUCUAGUCCAGUGAAUACUUCAUUAUUUUUAUAUACAGGCAUAGAGACACACACAGAAUCAUACAUUCAGAUAUCCAUAGAAUAAUAUCUACAAUUAUAGUCACAGAAAUACAUGCCUACUUUCUAAAAAUGGAGAAUUGCAAAAACUAUUAGAGAUGCCUGACACAAGUGUACUGUGUUCAUUGAAAAAAAAAACCCCAAACCUCAAACACAAGAUCUCUAAAAUGGAGGAAUGAAGAUCUUUUCUAUUAGGAAGCAAAUUUUUUACCUAUUAACAUUACUACCUCACAAGUGGCUGAAAUAUAUCUUUGGCCUACUGCGAUGACUCCCAGUACGUGUGUAUUGAAGCUGUGCAAAAUCCCUAAACCACAAGUAACUCCCUGGGUUUCAGUUUUUGUUAUAAGCUCAAUAUUCUGUUCAGGUUCACUGAAAGGACAAUACAAGCCUGGAAAGUCCAUGAAUGAUGUAAUGCAGACUUCUCACAUGGCCUACUGUGUUGCACAGCACAACAUAUUGAUAGAUAGCAUUUGCUUCCUAUUAAAGGAUUACUAUCAUAGCACUCCAAAGAUGCAGAGCUGUUUCAUGUAGACAUUAUUAAAUGAAGAUCCACUUCACGUUGACAAAAUGCAGGGAAAGAUAUUGGGGCAAGAAAAUUAUUAUUUCAAAUUGCUUGAAAAUAUGUCAGAGGAAAGAAGCUUAGGUGGCAAACUCCAGAAAGACCAAGUUGGGUGAGGUGAGAUUUAUGAUACCCUGUGAGGUCUUAAUUCUGCUCCUAUGUGCAUCCAGCCUGUUGUCUGAAUGAAGCACUCUGAUGAAAAAAUACACUGCCACUACAUAAUUAAGGUCUGCAGAAUAAUGCAUAUUCCCAAAGGGUCAAAUAAAAUUUGCUGAGACAUUUUCUAUGCUCUUCUUUCUGUGAUGCAGUGUGGAGCCCUAUGACUCUUUUAAGCCAAAUUUCUCUGCAUAUGAAUACUGAAGUUUUUUAAAAACAAGUGAAAAUCAGCAGUUUGUAUUUAACCACUUCCAUAGAGCAUCAGCAGAGUUAAUUGCUACAUUUUGGACAUUAAAAAUCCCAAGCCAGCUAUUUAAGCUAAACCUAGAAUUAUUGUGAACAAACAGAAGGUGGUUGCUAUCUCAAGAUAAUCUUGCCCUCCACCAGCUUUUAGGAAAAUGGGUAGAAUAGUAGCUGUCAGAAUACAUCGAUAGAGUGGUCCACAACCAGAAUUUUCCUGAGGAAUCUAAGCUUAAAAUCCAAAAUAAUAACUUGCAAGACUUUGCAACUCAGCUGUUCAUGUGUAGACUGUCAUGAAGAAAGGAAAUCUUCUUCAGCCUAUAGACUGGGUUGGGGUCUUUUUUGUCCUUGAGGUUAUUUUUAGUGGGAGGAGGUUGUUUUGCCUUACACAAACUAUUCAGUUUCCUGUCACUAACACUGUAAAUGUCUAAUUUUGUCUAAUUCUGUCUCAGAAAUUUUAUUUUCUCCACGGACAAGUCCUCAGAUAUAUAUGACGUGCCCUCUGACUAAAUGAGAACUGAGAGACUGAGAAAAUGGUCUCCUUCAUAAUUUUCAUGGAGGAACGCUGGGCAGCCCUGCAAUGACUAUAUUUUUAUAGUCCAGUUGGCACCCCUGCUGCACAAGAAAGAGGAUAUCUGUCGCAUCGGUGUGGUGGCAGACCCCUCAGUUCUACCCUGUAUCUUGGCUUUGUUAGCAACUACUUGGGAGCUUUCCUGAGUUAGUCAGAGUACACUUGUCACUAAAGGAUGUAUAGUUUGCCUUCAGUCGUCUCAGAAGAGAGCUACCUUUGAAGCUUCUGUUUCUUUAUGCCUCUGGCAGAAAAUAGUGGAUAAACUUAAUCUAAGAAAUGAAUUCCUGCUUAUAACUGUUAUUUGAUAAAUCUUAUUAUUCUGGUUAUUCAACAGAAACCACUCCUGCACAGUAGUUAUUAUUCUCACACAGUUCUAAUCCAUACCAUGUAGCUUUUGUACACAGAUUAGUAUUUUAUUAUAUCUAAACUAAAUAUUGUUUGUAUAAUCUAAUGAGAUAUUUUGCAAAUAAAUACAUUCUGAACAGAAUUAUGCUAUCUGAACAGUAAUGUAAAGGUUUGAACCCUUAAAGAAUAAAAUGAUUUCUUACCAGAAAUUUCCAUCGCAUUAAUUAAACAUCCAUCCGGUUUUGCAAAAAUUAAAGAACCCUACUUAGUUUCCUUCCUGUAAAUUAUUUUGAGAAGAUGCAGGAGAUAAAAUAAAAUUACAAGAUGAGUGUAUAUAAUUCAAAAACUGUCCUGCUAAUGCUAAAAAUAUUGACAUUUCUUCCUGAGGUUCUGACAGAAAAUACAAUACACUGUCUUACAUCAAUUGAAUAAUUAGAGAUUAUAGUAAUUCCUGCAAGGCUUUCAUAUGUGGCACAUUCCGAGAAAAUUUGAAAAGAUUAGAUAAAUGUAAAGGUGUGUGUCAUGAAAUACUAGGUGCCUCUUCUCCUAUAACAAUGAAACUCAGAAAAAAUUAAAACUCCUCUGGGGAAAAGUGAUGGCAAUGCUCAGGCAAACAUCAGGAUCCCCGAAUCUCAAGUGGAGAAAGGAGUUAUCAGUGUGCUCUACACUGUGUAUAGGAGGUGGUAUCUGAAGACAA